AGUUUAUUUCUGUUAAUUACCUACAGAGGAGUUCCCUUUGUAGGUAAGACUGUCAGCUGAUUUCUUGAAAGAAACUUCUGAGGCUAGAAAGGACUGUCAAGAAGUAUCCAAAGUGAUGAAAAGCAAAAACCUACAACCUAGACUACUCUAUCCAGCAAAGCUAUCAUUCAGAAUUGAAUAGCACAUAAAGAACCUCCCAGAGAAGGUAAAUCUAAAGGAGUUCAUCAUCACCAAACCAUUGUUAUAUGAAACACUAAAGGGACUUUUUUAAGAAAAAGAAA